rnacentral:sRNA from 12 species
UGAAGGAAAACAACUUGGGCUACAUGCACAUUCAUUAAGGCAUGGACAUAUUAAGUCCAAAUGCUGAUAAAAUUCAAUAACAAUAGCUAAUAAUGAUGACAAGCCUUGGGGAAGUUUUGAGUGAAUACUAAAGUUAUGGUGAAACUUGAUGACUGUGCUAGAUGCU